UACGGGAGGCAGCAGCAGGGAAUAUUGCACAAUGGGCGAAAGCCUGAUGCAGCGACACCGCGUGCGGGAUGACGGCCUUAGGGUUGUAAACCGCUUUCGGGAGGGAAGGAAAUGACGGUACCUCCUAAAGAAGCUCCGGCCAACUACGUGCCAGCAGCCGCGGUAAU
rnacentral:rRNA from 1 species